GAUGAAGAACGUAGCGAAAUGCGAUAAGUAAUGUGAAUUGCAGAAUUCAGUGAAUCAUCGAAUCUUUGAACGCACAUUGCGCCCGCCAGUAUUCUGGCGGGCAUGCCUGUUCGAGUGUCAUUUCAACCAUCAAGCCCCAGGCUUGUGUUGGAGCCCUGCGGCUGCCGCAGCCUCCCAAAACCAGUGGCGGGCUCGCUAUCACACCGAGUGCAGUAGUUUACUCUUCGCUCAGGGCGUGUGGCGGGUGCUAGCCGUAAAACCCCCAACUUCUCAAGGUUGACCUCGGAUCAGGUAGGAAUACCCGCUGAACUUAAGCAUAUCAAUAAGCGGAGGA
rnacentral:misc_RNA from 1 species